rnacentral:rRNA from 1 species
GGACCUACGGGAGGCAGCAGUGGGGAAUAUUGCACAAUGGGCGCAAGCCUGAUGCAGCAACGCCGCGUGAGGGAUGACGGCCUUCGGGUUGUAAACCUCUUUUAGCAGGGAAGAAGCGAAAGUGACGGUACCUGCAGAAAAAGCGCCGGCUAACUACGUGCCAGCAGCCGCGGUAAUACGUAGGGCGCAAGCGUUAUCCGGAAUUAUUGGGCGUAAAGAGCUCGUAGGCGGUUUGUCGCGUCUGCUGUGAAAUCCCGAGGCGUAACCUCGGGUCUGCAGUGGGUACGGGCAGACUAGAGUGCGGUAGGGGAGAUUGGAAUGCCUGGUGGAGCGGUGGAAUGCGCAGAUAUCAGGAGGAACACCGAUGGCGAAGGCAGAUCUCUGGGCCGUAACUGACGCUGAGGAGCGAAAGGGUGGGGAGCAAACAGGAUUAGAUACCCCUGUAGUCC